rnacentral:tRNA from 1 species
GCUCUCGUAGCUCAGAAGAUAGAUAGCGCCGCACUGUUAAUGCGGAGGUCGCUGGUUUGAGUCCAGCCGAGAGCG